GACGAACGCUGGCGGCGUGCUUAACACAUGCAAGUCGAACGGAAAGGCCCUGCUUGCAGGGUACUCGCGUGGCGAACGGGUGAGUAACACGUGGGUGGUCUGCCCUGCACUUCGGGAUAAGCCUGGGCAACUGGGUGUAAUACCGGAUAGGAGCCAUUUUUAGUGUGAUGGUUGGAAAGUUUUUUCGGUGUAGGAUGAGCUCGCGGCCUAUCAGCUUGCUGGUGGGGUAAUGGCCUACCAAGGCGGCGACGGGUAGCCGGCCUGAGAGGGUGGACGGCCACAUUGGGACUGUGAGGCGGCACAGACUGCGACGGGAGGGAGAAGGGGGGAAGAUUGAAGAAGGGGCGCAAGGCGGAUGCAGCGACGCCGCGUGGGGGAUGACGGCCUUCUGGUGGUAGACUCCAUUCGCUAGGGACGAAGCUUGUUGUGACGGUACCUAGAUAAGAAGCACCGGCUAACUACGUG
rnacentral:rRNA from 1 species